rnacentral:rRNA from 1 species
AUCCAGUUGAUCCUGCUGGAGGUUGCGGCUAUCCGGUUUGCACUAAGACAUGCAAGUUGUUCCUUUUGAUUCUUCGGAAUCGAGAGGAAGGCGAACUGCUCAGUAACACGUAGCUAACCUACCCUAUGGUCCGGGAUACCCUCGGGAAACUGAGGCUAAUACCGGAUAGGAGAAGGUUGCUGGGAUGCGCCUUCUUUCAAAGGCGACGCCAUAGGAUGGGGCUGCGGCCGAUUAGGUUGUUGGCGGGGUAACUGCCCACCAAGCCUUUGAUCGGUAAGGGCUCUUAGCGGAGGAGCCCUGAGAGGGGAUCUGAGACACUAUCCCCAGCCCUACGGGGUGCAGCAGUCGGGAAACUUCUGCAAUGCGCGCAAGCGUGACAGAGCAAGCCGGAGUGCUUCCUCACACGAGGAAGCUUUUGCGAGAUGUAAAAAGUCUCGCGAAUAAGGACUGGGUAAGACCGGUGCCAGCCGCCGCGGUAAUACCGGCAGUCCAAGUCGCAACCAUGUUUAUUGGGUCUAAAACAUCCGUAGCUCGCCUAGUAAGUCUCCUGUGAAAUCCGGCAUCUUAAGUGUCGGGCGGGCAGGAGAUACUGCUAGGCUAGGGACCGGGAGGCGUGAGGAGUACGCAUAGGGUACCGGUAAAAUGGGUUGAUCCUAUGCGGACUAACGAUAGCGAAGGCACCUCACGAGAACGGAUCCGACAGUGAGGGAUGAAGGCUAGGGGCGCAAAACGGAUUAGAUACCCGUGUAGUCCUAGCAGUAAACCCUGCGCACUAAACAUCGGUGCCUCUUCGAGAGGCAUCGGUGCUGAAGGGAAGCCGUAGAGUGCGCUACCUGGGGAGUAUAGCCGCAAGGCCGAAACUUAAAGGAAUAGGCGGCGGGAUACCACAACCAGUGACGCGUGCGGUUCAAUUAGACUCUACACCGUGAACCUCACCAGGACCGACAGCAGAAUGAAGGUCAGUCUGAAGGGCUUACCUGACACGCUGAGAGGAGGUGCAUGGCCGACGUCAGCCUGUGCCGUGAGGUGAUCUGUUAAAUCAGGUAACAGGCGAGACCCGCGUGCACAUUUGCUUCGUGCACAAUGUGCAGACUGCCUGCGCAAGCAGGAGGAAGGUGCGGGCUACGUUAGGUGAGUACGCCCCGAACGCCCUGGGCGACACGCGCGCGGCAAUGCUGCAUUCAAAGGGAUGCGACACCGAAAGGUGAAGCUAAUCUCAUAAACUGCAGCCUAGUUCAGAUCGAGGGUUGCAACUCACCCUCGUGACGCUGGAAUUGGUAGUAAUCGGGUGUUAGCAGCGCCCGGUGAAUAGGUCAAUGUUCCGUGCACUCACCGCCCGUCAAACCAACCGAGUUGUGCAUUGGUGAGGCCCGUCAGGGACGAGCCUUUGUACGACAAGGUAGGUUAAGUCGUCACAAGGUAUCUGUAGGGGAACCUGCAGAUGGAUCACCUCCUA